rnacentral:rRNA from 1 species
CACGUAGGGUGCGAGCGUUGUCCGGAAUUAUUGGGCGUAAAGAGCUCGUAGGCGGUGUGUCGCGUCGGCCGUGAAAACCUGCAGCUUAACUGUGGGCGUGCGGUCGAUACGGGCAUCACUGGAGUUCGGCAGGGGAGACUGGAAUUCCUGGUGUAGCGGUGAAAUGCGCAGAUAUCAGGAGGAACACCGGUGGCGAAGGCGGGUCUCCGGGCAGUAACUGACGCUGAGGAGCGAAAGCGUGGGGAGCGAACAGG